rnacentral:piRNA from 1 species
UGUGACCAUGCCUCUAAAAGCUUCAGU